rnacentral:tRNA from 1 species
GCCCAGUAAGCUAACUCGGUAGAAGCGAUGGACUGAAAAUCCAUAGGAGCCAGUUCGACCCUGGCACUGGGCA